rnacentral:rRNA from 1 species
CCUUUCGUAGUAGGGUUGCUGCGGAAGGAUCAUUA